rnacentral:ncRNA from 2 species
CAACGAAAUAAAUCCUGUCGGAUUUGUGAAAUGCGCUUCGCGCGUGAAAUAUGGCUUCGCCAAGUGAAAUGCCUG